UACGUAGGGUGCGAGCGUUAAUCGGAAUUACUGGGCGUAAAGCGUGCGCAGGCGGUUCGCCAAGUCAGGUGUGAAAUCCCCGGGCUUAACCUGGGAAUUGCGCUUGAAACUAGCGGGCUUGAGUGCGGCAGAGGGGGGUGGAAUUCCACGUGUAGCAGUGAAAUGCGUAGAGAUGUGGAGGAACACCGAUGGCGAAGGCAGCCCCCUGGGUCGACACUGACGCCCAUGCACGAAAGCGUGGGGAGCAAACAGG
rnacentral:rRNA from 1 species